AUUCAACUUGACUUUCCAACAUCAAAGAAGCUUCAAAUGAAUUUUUGGUCAACAUGAAAGUUGAAGAUCUUUCUCUCCCAUUUCCAAAAAGUCCAAGAUCAUGAGCAUCUGAUGAAUGGUUGAGAUGUUAUGAUCCAAUGAUUGCAAAGUGUGCUUGAAACUUCAAAGUGGCAUAACUUUUGAUCCAAAACUCCAAUUUAAGCCACUCUUUUUGCAUAAUACUUCUCAUGACCUAUAUUUUCC
rnacentral:lncRNA from 1 species